rnacentral:lncRNA from 1 species
UAUAUAUGACCUUUGUUUUGGAUGAAAAAAGAUGGCGACAAUUCUGAAAAAGAAAAAAGAAAAAAAAACUAAUGGAUAGAAUUGAUUUCCUGUCAAGCAUACAACGUUGGUUCCUAAUAAAUAAAAAAGAAGAAGAAGAAAAGAAGAGCAUCGAGUGUGUGUCCCAUACAUCACAUGGCAGGCACCGAAUAUUGAUCGAUCGCGAUCCGCAGGCUUUAAGGAAAAGAUUUACUGCAUUGUUGUAAAUCAUUUUUUUCUCCCUCGAUCGCGAUCAAAUAAAUCAUGCAUGUUGAAAAACCAACAUCAACAUGCUCUGUGUUCCCAGCAGCAAUUUCAUCACUUUAUUGAAUUCAACGAGGGAACACAUACAUCAUCGACUUGGAGGAUGGAGCGAUUGCUAGGGCUAUGGCUUGCAGUAGCAUCCCCUGGCGGUGGCGACAUAGACGCAGCGGCCGCCGCCGCAGCCGUUGUAGUGGCAGGCGUCGCCGGGUCGCACAGCGCCUCCACGAACGUCUUGCCGCACCCGUGGUCCGACGCGUAGUCACCCACCCACGCACACCCUAAUAAUUUUAUUAAGCAAAAAAAAUGGUCAAUGCAAGAAAAUACAGAAGCAUGCAUCAUCAUCAUCAAUCAACAUGCCCGCCGCCACCGCCGCCAAGGUUUUACUGCCAAGGUUUUACUUACUGGUAACCGUGGCGAGAGAGGCCACGAGGAGGAGG